CGUUCGAUCACCGAAGUUAAGCAUCGUAGAGCCAGGUCAGUACUUAGAUGGGGGACCGCUUGGGAACACCUGGUACUGUAAGC
rnacentral:rRNA from 1 species